ACUACGGGAGGCAGCAGUGGGGGAUAUUGCACAAUGGGGGAAACCCUGAUGCAGCGACGCCGCGUGUGGGAAGACGGUCCUCUGGAUUGUAAACCACUGUCCCCAGGGACGCAGAUGACGGUCCCUGGGGAGGAAGCUCCGGCUAACUACGUGCCAGCAGCCGCGGUACUACGUAGGGAGCAAGCGUUGUGUGGAAUUACUGGGUGUAAAGGGGGCGAUGGCGGGAUGGCAAGUCGGGUGUUAAAUCUACCGGCUCAACUGGUAGUCGCACUCGAAACUGCUAUUCUUGAGUGAAGUAGAGGCAGGCGGAAUUCGUAGUGUAGCGGUGAAAGGCGUAGAUAUUAGGAGGAACAC
rnacentral:rRNA from 1 species